GGACGUAUAGUGUAACGGCAGUACAUCAGACUCACAAUCUGCUGGAGGAGUGUUCGAGUCUCCUGCGGACCA
rnacentral:tRNA from 1 species